UUAAUCUUUCAAAUUUCUCAU
rnacentral:piRNA from 1 species